rnacentral:rRNA from 1 species
UGCCUACGGGAGGCAGCAGUGAGGAAUAUUGGUCAAUGGGCGGAAGCCUGAACCAGCCAAGUCGCGUGAGGGAAUAAGGCCCUACGGGUCGUAAACCUCUUUUGCCGGGGAGCAAGGGCCGGGACGAGUCCCGGUCCGGAGAGUACCCGGAGAAAAAGCAUCGGCUAACUCCGUGCCAGCAGCCGCGGUAAUACGUAGGGGGCAAGCGUUAUCCGGAUUUACUGGGUGUAAAGGGAGCGUAGACGGUGCAGCAAGUCUGAUGUGAAAGGUCGGGGCCCAACCCCGGGACUGCAUUGGAAACUGUU